CUUCAAGGUUACUCUCUCCAGGUAGAUAAGGCAAGUGGAUUGGUGGUGGAUGCCCAUAGACGACCUCAAAUGGGGUUGUUUCGAUGGUGGAGUGAUAACUGGUAUUAUACCAGUAUUCGGCCAAUGGUAGCUGUAACACCUGAAUGACCUCCUUGAGCUAAUGUGUGAUGCCAUUUUAUUAACCGGUUUCUCAUAUCUGCAGUUGAAGACCUUCAUCCGACUUCCAGGAAGCUGAAAUCUCCUUUAUGAGACCCGAUUGUACCAUAGAUAAUGCCAUUGUUAAUAGUUCGCUACUUUGUACCCUUGAUAAAGCAUCAGCUACUUUAUUGGUGAUUCCCUGUUUAUAUCUUAUCUCAUAGUCGAACCCCAAUAACUUAGACAACCAUUUCUGUUGGAAGGGAGUUGAUAUUUUAUUUUCCAAUAAAUA